UACGGAGGGUGCAAGCGUUAUCCGGAAUGAUUGGGCGUAAAGCGUCCGCAGGUGGCUAUGUAAGUCUGCUGUUAAAGAGUGAGGCUCAACCUCAUAAGAGCAGUGGAAACUACAUGGCUAGAGUGCGUUCGGGGCAGAGGGAAUUCCUGGUGUAGCGGUGAAAUGCGUAGAUAUCAGGAAGAACACCGGUGGCGAAAGCGCUCUGCUAGGCCGCAACUGACACUGAGAGACGAAAGCUAGGGGAGCGAAUGGG
rnacentral:rRNA from 1 species